GGCAACCAGCAAUCAGCUUUUCUUCACUUGAACCAUGGCAAGGCAUUCAAAUUAGUCAUUACACUGUUUUCUUCUAAAAUUUGCUUAUUGACAAUUGAAUAAGCAAUAAACAGAUGCAUAAGGAAAUUAUAAGCACACUAGAAAAACCUAAUUUUUCCAUCACAAGCGUAAAUUCUCUGUUUAGACGGUGUAACCCGUCAUGUUAUUAUCACUCUAUCUAUCCUUGUCUGCAAAAUUAUCAUAUGCAAGGAAAAACGAUUGGAGCUUGUCUUCAUCAGUCAGAUAUCCUGAUUUCAACUCCCAAUAGGUCCUUCACUUGCUCAUAUGUCACAAAAGCAAUAGCUAUUGAAGGAACGACCUUCACUGAGUUAGGCACCAAACCUUUGUACAAGGCACUGAAGCCCUCAUACCUCACAGUUUUCCUGAAAGUAUCAAUCAUACCAGAAUAUUCAAGGGAGGCCUUGCUCCUCCCAUCACCAGUA
rnacentral:misc_RNA from 1 species